AUUUACUAAGUGCCAACCUUCCCUUUAAGUAUUUGGAUGCUGGACAAUUGUUCAGAUCCCUGAAGAAGAACUCCUAAAUGCUGGCAUUGGGGAAGGGCCUGAAGACCCAUCUGCCCCGAUAAGCUGAAAUACUGCAAGUGUUAGAAGAGUCUUCUCUGAUUUUUCCAAACAAUCUGAGGAGGCACAGUGUGGACCCAGAACAUUUUGAGCUUGAUAUAUUAUGAAGGUCAUCGAAAUGGGACUGAAGAGAUAGAGUCAAUGGACAGAAUUCCAUGGGUGGAAUACAACCUCCGUAAUGUGGAUUUCAGUAAACGUGAAUCACCACGCCUCAUUGCUUCCCAUUUGCCCUACUACUUGGUCCCAAAAGGAUUAAGAAAUGGUAAAGGAAAGGUUAUUUAUGUGCUCAGAAACCCAAAAGAUGUCUUGGUCUCAUACUAUCAUUUUUCCAAAUUUUCACGCAAACUGGAAGAAAUAGACUUUGAUGUUUUGAUGGAAAGGUUCCUAGAUG